AGACUGGAGAUUGUAGGGGAGACUGCUUGGGAUAAAGAAAUGAAAGCCCAGGACUAAAUUGGUGUUCCCUGAGUGGCUGCAGUUCCCUGCAUGUGCAGGGAGGAGGUCAAUGCUGGAGAAUGGGAGAAAGGUCCCUGCUGGUUGCUGUGUCCCAGCCUUGGUGGGCAGAGAACUCUGACCUUGGCCAGAUGGGUUGGACAGGAAGAACCACUGAACUUGUCUCAUCCUUGCCAAGAGCUUUGUUGUUUGAGCAGCCAAACCCAGCCUGGUCCUGCCCAUGGUGUGGGUCUGUCACAGGUUCCUCUUCUCCUCUCUGCUGUGAUGAACCCUAUGCUGGAACUGACUCUCUGGAUGUGUGCUGAGCUCUUGCAGCUGUGGACUGUGUGGCCUUAAUUGCUGCAGGGUUCUUUCUUCUCACUG